rnacentral:rRNA from 1 species
UCCUGGCUCAGGAUGAACGCUGGCGGCGUGCCUAACACAUGCAAGUCGAACGAAGCGAUCGGAAGUUUUCGGACGGAUGAUUGACUGAGUGGCGGACGGGUGAGUAACGCGUGGGUAACCUGCCUCAUACAGGGGGAUAACAGUUAGAAAUGACUGCUAAUACCGCAUAAGCGCACAGUACCGCAUGGUACCGUGUGAAAAGCCGAGACGGUAUGAGAUGGACCCGCGUCUGAUUAGCUAGUUGGUGGGGUAACGGCCCACCAAGGCGACGAUCAGUAGCCGACCUGAGAGGGUGACCGGCCACAUUGGGACUGAGACACGGCCCAAACUCCUACGGGAGGCAGCAGUGGGGAAUAUUGCACAAUGGGGGAAACCCUGAUGCAGCGACGCCGCGUGAGUGAAGAAGUAUUUCGGUAUGUAAAGCUCUAUCAGCAGGGAAGAAAAUGACGGUACCUGACUAAGAAGCCCCGGCUAACUACGUG